rnacentral:rRNA from 1 species
AAAUUGAAGAGUUUGAUCAUGGCUCAGAUUGAACGCUGGCGGCAGGCCUAACACAUGCAAGUCGAGCGGCAGCGGGGAGUAGUUUACUACUUUGCCGGCGAGCGGCGGACGGGUGAGUAAUGUCUGGGAAACUGCCUGAUGGAGGGGGAUAACUACUGGAAACGGUAGCUAAUACCGCAUAACGUCUUCGGACCAAAGUGGGGGACCUUCGGGCCUCACGCCAUCGGAUGUGCCCAGAUGGGAUUAGCUAGUAGGUGGGGUAAUGGCUCACCUAGGCGACGAUCCCUAGCUGGUCUGAGAGGAUGACCAGCCACACUGGAACUGAGACACGGUCCAGACUCCUACGGGAGGCAGCAGUGGGGAAUAUUGCACAAUGGGCGCAAGCCUGAUGCAGCCAUGCCGCAUGUGUGAAGAAGGCCUUCGGGUUGUAAAGCACUUUCAGCGAGGAAGAAGGCAUAAAGGUUAAUAACCUUUGUGAUUGACGUUACUCGCAGAAGAAGCACCGGCUAAC